rnacentral:tRNA from 1 species
UCUCUGAUAGUAUAUCGGUUAGUACACGCGCCUGUCAUUUAAUGUUAGCCUUGAUCGCGCGAAAGCUGGGUUCGACUCCCAGUCAGAGAG